rnacentral:rRNA from 1 species
GACGAACGCUGGCGGCGUGCUUAACACAUGCAAGUCGAACGGAAAGGCCCUGCUUUUGUGGGGUGCUCGAGUGGCGAACGGGUGAGUAACACGUGAGUAACCUGCCCUUGACUUUGGGAUAACUUCAUGAAACUGGGGCUAAUACCGGAUAGGAGCUCCUGCUGCAUGGUGGGGGUUGGAAAGUUUCGGCGGUUGGGGAUGGACUCGCGGCUUAUCAGCUUGUUGGUGGGGUAGUGGCUUACCAAGGCUUUGACGGGUAGCCGGCCUGAGAGGGUGACCGGCAACAUUGGGACUGAGAGACGGCCCAGACUCCUACGGGAGGCAGCAGUGGGGAAUAUUGCACAAUGGGCGGAAGCCUGAUGCAGCAACGCCGCGUGCGGGAUGACGGCCUUCGGGUUGUAAACCGCUUUCGCCUGUGACGAAGCGUGAGUGACGGUAAUGGGUAAAGAAGCACCGGCUAACUACGUG